UAAGUUGUUUUUUUUCUAGGUUCGCAACAGUACCACAAUACUCACAAAAGAGUACAUUGAUGCAUUACAAAAUGGCUGGGAGGAGUAUGCAUGGCGCAGGAUCAACAAAGGAAUCCUUCUGAAUAAGUGCAGGAACAGAACUCUUUGCAUGGCGAAGAUUUUAUUGGUUCUCCCUGACACAUCACCAUAUAUACCUCAGCAAUUUGGUAGUUGUGUCGUUGUUGGUCACUGCACUAUAGAUUUGGGUUGUAUCGUUGUGUAUUAUAUUUGCUAUGGAGCUAUGUAUGUAUGGAUGCUAUGGAACUAUAUGUAUAUAUGGAUGCUAUGGAA